GCCGACGUAGCCCAAUCGGGAGAGGCGGCAGUUUUAGAAACUGCUCAGUGUGAGUUCGACUCUCACCGUCGGUA
rnacentral:tRNA from 1 species